UACAGAGGUCCCAAGCGUUGUUCGGAUUCACUGGGCGUAAAGGGUGCGCAGGUGGUGGGGUAAGUCGGAUGUGAAAGCUCGGAGCUCAACUCCGAAAUGGCAUUGGAAACUACCCUGCUAGAGGAUUGGAGGGGGGACUGGAAUACUUGGUGUAGCAGUGAAAUGCGCAGAUAUCAGGAGGAACACCGGUGGCGAAGGCGGGUCUCUGGGCCGUAACUGACGCUGAGGAGCGAAAGCGUGGGGAGCGAACAGG
rnacentral:rRNA from 1 species